GACGAACGCUGGCGGCGUGCUUAACACAUGCAAGUCGAACGGUAAGGCCCUUCGGGGUACACGAGUGGCGAACGGGUGAGUAACACGUGGGUGAUCUGCCCUGCACUUCGGGAUAAGCCUGGGAAACUGGGUCUAAUACCGGAUAGGACCACUGCCUGCAUGGGUGGUGGUGGAAAGCUUUUGCGGUGUGGGAUGGGCCCGCGGCCUAGCAGCUUGUUGGGGGGGUGAUGGCCUACCAAGGCGACGACGGGUAGCCGGCCUGAGAGGGUGACCGGCCACACUGGGACUGAGAUACGGCCCAGACUCCUACGGGAGGCAGCAGUGGGGAAUAUUGCACAAUGGGCGCAAGUCUGAUGCAGCGACGCCGCGUGAGGGAUGACGGCCUUCGGGUUGUAAACCUCUUUCAGCACCGACGAAGCGCGAGUGACGGUAGGUGCAGAAGAAGGACCGGCCAACUACGUGCCAGCAGCCGCAGUAA
rnacentral:rRNA from 1 species